AUAAUCUGAUUUCUCUUCAGAUCAAAUAAAUCUUUCCCCUUUUAAUGAAGAUUUCCGUGGAGAGAAGCCAUUCCGAGACUCAAAGAGAACUAACUUCUUGUUACCAAAGGGGA
rnacentral:snRNA from 1 species